rnacentral:piRNA from 1 species
UAGAUUCUUUAGGAGUAUCUCUUGGUGU